rnacentral:rRNA from 1 species
UACAGGGGGUGCAAACGUUGCUCGGAAUCAUUGGGCGUAAAGCGCACGUAGGCGGUUCGUUAUGUCGGAUGUGAAAGCCCUUGGCUUAACCGAGGAAGUGCAUCCGAAACUGGCGAGCUAGAGUACUAAAGAGGAUCGCGGAAUUCCCGGUGUAGAGGUGAAAUUCGUAGAUAUCGGGAGGAACACCGGUGGCGAAGGCGGUUCUCUGGGCCUGACCUGACGCUGAGGAGCGAAAGCGUGGGGAGCGAACAGG